UACGAAGGGGGCUAGCGUUGCUCGGAAUUACUGGGCGUAAAGGGCGCGUAGGCGGCCUUCUAAGUCGAACGUGAAAUCCCUGGGCUCAACCCAGGAACUGCGUCCGAUACUGGAAGGCUUGAAUCCGGGAGAGGGAUGCGGAAUUCCAGGUGUAGCGGUGAAAUGCGUAGAUAUCUGGAGGAACACCGGUGGCGAAGGCGGCAUCCUGGACCGGCAUUGACGCUGAGGCGCGAAAGCCAGGGGAGCAAAGCGGG
rnacentral:rRNA from 1 species